rnacentral:rRNA from 1 species
GAUGAACGCUGGCGGCGUGCUUAACACAUGCAAGUCGAACGAUGAAGCCCAGCUUGCUGGGUGGAUUAGUGGCGAACGGGUGAGUAACACGUGAGUAACCUGCCCUUAACUCUGGGAUAAGCCUGGGAAACUGGGUCUAAUACCGGAUAGGAGCGCCUACCGCAUGGUGGGUGUUGGAUAGAUUUAUCGGUUUUGGAUGGACUCGCGGCCUAUCAGCUUGUUGGUGUGGUAAUGGCUCACCAAGGCGACGACGGGUAGCCGGCCUGAGAGGGUGACCGGCCACACUGGGACUGAGACACGGCCCAGACUCCUACGGGAGACAGCAGUGGGGAAUAUUGCACAAUGGGCGAAAGCCUGAUGCAGCGACGCCGCGUGAGGGAUGACGGCCUUCGGGUUGUAAACCUCUUUCAGUAGGGAAGAAGCGAAAGUGACGGUACCUGCAGAAGAAGCUCCGGCUAACUACGUG